rnacentral:tRNA from 1 species
GUCCGUAUAGCCCAGUGGUAGAGUGCAUGCUUACCAUGCAUGAAGUCCUAGGUUCAAUCCCCAGUACCUCCA